rnacentral:piRNA from 1 species
UCCAACUCAUAGCACAUUUUU